GGACAGCCUGCUGCUCACAGCCUCCCAGACUUGUCUUAACAGAGAAAGAGUACAGGGAGCAGGGAGGAGAAUGAGUGCACAGAGUUUGCUAAAAUAUGAAGGUAUCUUCAAACCGGAACUCAGAUCUAACCCUUCUGCCCCUCAGUUGUGGAUCUUUCUUUCCAAAACUAAGGGAUCAGAUCAGCAGCAUGUUGGUUCCUGAGGCCAAAGGUGUUUUAUUUUCCUCCACAUUCUCCUUUCAGUGGCAGUGAACAUGGGACAGAAGACGACCUGGCAGUGGACCAUCAACAAUACACCAUGGAAAACUGACAUUAAUGGGUCUAUAUCACCAGAGGGGGGAAGAAUGGUCAGAAUGGCAGAAAAUCCGCUGGCACGGAGAUAUUUAUAACCCGGGUGAUCUCCCCCGAGUAUCCCCCGGCCCUGACUUGCUUCCGCCUUCCCAGCCCCGGAGCAGAGAGUCCCUGUCUCUUCCUUGCAGCAACUGCUGCCGCAGGGUCCUACUGCCCCCCAUCGCGACUGCCAGGGCAGAUUGACUCUGAGCCUGCCCUUCCCCCUCAGACCCUUUCAUUUUCCAAUGGGACCCUCCACCAGCACAGGGGGCCCCCGCCCACAGUCACCACUCCUGCCCCAUGCUGGGCAAGGAGGCAGCCCCAUCCCUCACCCCCAGUGAGGCUACAGUCAGGGGCAACAGCAGGGGAGAAGGUGCAUGCAGCGCCACCCAGCACCCACCAUGGGGGAGGCGAGGGAGAUUCC